UCGGGUUUAGCUCAGCUGGGAGAGCGUCAGACCGACGUUUUCACUGCAUUCAAAUCAAGUAAUUGAUAUCUAAAGGUCAUGUGUUCAAUCCACAUAACCCGCA